GCCUCCGUGGUCUAGUGGUAAGAUGCUUGGUUGUUUAGUCUUCGAAAGAGCUUAUAUCAAAGAGUCGAGGAUUCGAAUCCCUCCGGAGGCA